UCCUACGGGAGGCAGCAGUGGGGAAUAUUGCACAAUGGGCGCAAGCCUGAUGCAGCCAUGCCGCGUGUGUGAAGAAGGCCUUCGGGUUGUAAAGCACUUCAGUACGGUGAGGAAGGUAGUGUAGUAACUACGCUGCAUUAUUGACGUACCUACAGAGAGCCGUCG
rnacentral:rRNA from 1 species